AGUCGAACGAAGCACUUUAUUUGAUUUCCUUCGGGACUGAUUAUGUUGUGACUGAGUGGCGGACGGGUGAGUAACGCGUGGGUAACCUGCCUUGUACAGGGGGAUAACAGUUGGAAACGGCUGCUAAUACCGCAUAAGCGCACAGCAUCGCAUGAUGCAGUGUGAAAAACUCCGGUGGUAUAAGAUGGACCCGCGUUGGAUUAGCUAGUUGGUGAGGUAACGGCCCACCAAGGCGACGAUCCAUAGCCGACCUGAGAGGGUGACCGGCCACAUUGGGACUGAGACACGGCCCAAACUCCUACGGGAGGCAGCAGUGGGGAAUAUUGCACAAUGGGCGAAAGCCUGAUGCAGCGACGCCGCGUGAGCGAAGAAGUAUUUCGGUAUGUAAAGCUCUAUCAGCAGGGAAGAUAAUGACGGUACCUGACUAAGAAGCACCGGCUAAAUACGUGCCAGCAGCCGCGGUAAUACGUAUGG
rnacentral:rRNA from 1 species